GACGAACGCUGGCGGCGUGCUUAAUACAUGCAAGUCGAACGGAAAGGCCCUGCUUUUGUGGGAUCCUCGAGUGCCGAACGCGUGUGUAACACGUGAGUAACCUGCCCUUUACUUUGGGAUAACUUCAGUAAACUGGAGCUCAUACCGCAUAUGAGCACCUGCUGCAUGGUGGGGAAGGGAAAGUUACGGCGGUUUGGGAUGGACUCGAGGCUUAGCAGCUUGUUGGUUGGGUAGUGGCUUACCAAGGCUUUGACGGGUAGCCGGCCUGCGAGGGUGACCGGCCACAAUGGGACUGAGAUACGGCCCGGACUCCUACGGGAGGCAGGAGCGGAAAAUAUUGCAAACUGGGCGGAAGGCGGCUAGAGCACCGCCGCGUCCGGGAUGACGGCCGUCGGGUUGUAAACCGGUUUCGCAUGUAACGCUGAGUGAGUGACGGUAACGGGUAAAAAAGCGCCGGCUAACUACGUG
rnacentral:rRNA from 1 species